UACGUAGGUCCCGAGCGUUGUCCGGAUUUAUUGGGCAUAAAGCGAGCGCAGGUGGUUUAUUAAGUCUGGUGUAAAAGGCAGUGGCUCAACCAUUGUAUGCAUUGGAAACUGGUAGACUUGAGUGCAGGAGAGGAGAGUGGAAUUCCAUGUGUAGCGGUGAAAUGCGUAGAUAUAUGGAGGAACACCGGUGGCGAAAGCGGCUCUCUGGCCUGUAACUGACACUGAGGCUCGAAAGCGUGGGGAGCAAACAGG
rnacentral:rRNA from 1 species